AAUUGCGUGCACGAGUAUAUUUUCCUUCAACGAAACGUGGCAUCAAAGUGUGUGUUGUUGGCACUUCUCUGAAAUGUAUCUUCCAGUUCAUGCGGUAGUAGUUGUUUCGUUGUCGUAAGUGACAUAAGUUCUCUUGUGUAAAAAGGUAAAAUCAAGCAUGAAGUGGUACUUAAUAUUUGCAGCUUUUGCUGCUUUAUUGUUCAUCGCACAUGCAGAAGAAGAAGAAGAAGCUGCAAGAUUAUUAAUAUCUAAACAGCUUCUUAACAAAUAUCUUGUAGAAAAUAUGGACAUUGUAAUCAAAUAUACAGUUUACAAUGUUGGAAAUGCAGCUGCAUUAGAGGUUGAAAUCACAGACAAUUCUUUCCAUCCUGACCAUUUCACUCAUGUGAGUGGAGAAAUAAAUGCGAGGAUAGACCGUGUUCCACCUUACACGAAUGUCAGUCACACAGUUGUUGUGAGACCACGCAAAUUUGGAUAUUUCAAUUUCACAUCUGCAGAAAUUUUAUACAGACGUAAGGAGGAUGCUCCUAGAUUACAAUUUGCAUCAAGCAGUGAGCCUGGUGAAGCAAUCAUUGUAUCAUUUAGAGAUUAUGAUAAACAAUUUUCCUCUCAUGUGGUUGACUGGGCUGCAUUUGCUGUGAUGACAUUACCUUCAUUAGCCAUUCCAUUUGCAUUGUGGUAUUCUAGUAAAAGUAAAAUUUCACAAAGGAAUUUUAAAAAUGUGUUUAUUUUUCUUAAUGUAUAAUACAUGUUUAUUAAACAUUAUACUUAAUUCUACCUCUUUACAUGAAUAAAACCAGUAACAUCUGUAGAAAAAAACAAGAUGAAAAAUUGUUCAAUCAUUAAAUGAGGAAAAUUAUAUUUAAAGAACUUCAAAGUUAUAAAAUGAUGUAUUAUACAUGAAUAGUACAUAAAUUACAUAUGAUACUUGAAAACAUGUUACCAUACAAGUGACAGAAAUGAAUAAAAGAAUGUAAUAAAUUACUGAUGCUACGUUUGCAUUGUCACUCGAGAUCAUACGUAUAAAAAACCUAAAUGUUACUCUUGCAUAUCAGUUAUAUGACUAGGAACCAUAUACCUCAAACGUGUAAAGUAAAUACGACCAAUGUGUUCUUGAAAUGUACUUGCAUGAAAUUACUAUGGUUUUUCUACCAAUGUAUAAAAUGAUAUAACUUAAGGUUUAUAUUACAAAAUGUACAAUAUCUUAUAUAUCUAUUAAGUAAUAUUAAUAUAACGAUAUUAUCGCUACAAAACAACGUAAAAAGUCUAUUUCACACAAAAUAACAUAUCCUAGUAAAAAUGAGUUUAUGGCAAUAAGGCACCAGUUUCUGAUAAUUGAAUAUUUGUUCAUAAACGAGCCUAGUUAAUAUGUUAUAAUUUCAUUAUAAGUACAAUGUAUUUUUACAUUGAAGUCAUUGUUUUGCCACUAUAUUAUUUAUUAGGUAUUCAUUGAUCGAUUUCGUUUACUUGUCGAAUAAAGACCCCGAGGAUCACCAUAAACAGGGUCGAAUGCCGAGAAUGGUCUUAUUGGCGUAAUUGGAGUUCGUGGAACAGAAACGUUUGUACUAUUGAAUGUUGUCGAACAUGGCGUACUAGUCUUUUUCAAUUGUGGUGGACAUUUGUCAACUAUAAAAAUGCAAUAUUAAACAUUUAAUCAGUAAGCUAUGACAAUAAAAAUAAACACAUUUAUAUAUACGUACCGAACACUGAUCUAUUUUUUAUAUUUAAAUCAAUAUUUGCCAUCUUGUUUUUCCAUACUGCAACAUCAAGUAGAGGAGAACGUUAGAGAAAUAUUCAUAUGGUAUAUCAGAAACAGAUUAAACAAUUUAAAAUAUAGGAAGACUUACUAUAGAAGCAAGUAAUCACAAUAACAGCAAAUGUUCCAAACGUGUAACGAUGGAAAUACAUAUAAUCCACCCAAUGAAUCCCGGACAAUGGUAUAAAAUUUUCAUAUUUCGUUAUACGUACAAAAAGCUAAAGAAUACAAAUAAAUUAUAUUUAUGAUUUUGAAAUGUAUUGACGAGCACUUAUGGCUAUUCCAUCUGGAACAUCGAUCUGCAAAGAGAUUGCUGUGAAUAAACAUAUUACAAACCUA